rnacentral:lncRNA from 1 species
GUUGUGAACAAAUAUUGAAGCUUGUGGGAAUUCAGGGGUUAUAAACACAGGGAAACGAUACGUGAUAUGGUAUAUAUAUAGCUCUCAAUGAAUGUGUAUGAGGAAAAAGUGCAGUAACAGAAGGGAUAAAAGGCGGAGAGAGAGUUUUAUAGCACAAGCAUGUCUAUACAAGGACUGCUGGUCUCUACUCGAAUAUUCUCCGGUGUGGAGACCCAGUGGGCAAAAUUUUAAAACGAAAAUUGCGAAUGACCGAUCGCUCCCGGUUGGUAUAUUGGACUGUUUUUCAUGCAAACGUGCGUCCCGUAACUGAUGUCCGUUUAGACGACCAUCGAGGGUCUGUGUUUGCGAGAUUUCGCCUUGUAUUUGUCCCACAAUUUUUUUCGCUGCGCAAAAGCUACACAGCUACAGCUACACAGUUUAUUUACCUUGUAAAUGCGACA